CUACUCUGCUCUUUUCUUUCGAGGGUGAGGCUGUGCAGUGUGCCGCGUGGGAGGAGGGAGGAGGAAGAUCUCGAGGCAGGACCGGAGCGAGCAGCCUAGUCUGUGUCUUCAGUAAAGUGUACAGCAUAAAGCAUCAUCAGGAGAAGGCAUAACCUCCCUAAAUGCCUGCCUGGAGGCAGUAAUGGGCUGCAUGAGGGACAACAAACUGAGGCUGAAUCCAGAUAAGACGGAGUCACUUAUUGUGCAGGGUCGAAACUCAGGAGAUAAUUUUGAUCUGCCGGUCUGGAUGGGGCCACACUCCCCAAGAAAGAACAGGAACCUCAAUUGGUCCAGAACACAGAGGCCAGACUGCUGAUCUGUUCCCAUCACUUUAGACAUAUAACGCCUGGAUCAACUUAUUUACAGCAGGUCUCAGUUCUAUUCUGGUGCAAAUCCAAGUGCUGGUUUUGAUGUAUACACUUCAAAGCUGGCAUUUGAGACCUUGAAACGGGGUCUCAAAUUGACCCCCAGUCCAGCAGCAGGACUUAGUCUCUUUGCCCUCCAAGUUACAAAGGCAGCUCACAGGGAGAAGAACUGGCUUACCUGAGUCUUGCUCUUCCACAGUGUAUCUGACAGCAGCAUGGAGAGAAUGUCCUGCUAAAGAAGAAUCACCUGGCCUGAAUUUGGCUCCCCAGGCUGAGCUUCUAUUUCCUAGAAGGUGCAAACCUGACUCUUGCCUUGCCUGGGCUGGCCUGCUCUGGAACCUGACUACCAGCCAAUCCUCAACCGUGCCAUACACUUCUGACACUCAAGGAUCUGUUUGCUCACUUCAGAACUUGACUUCCAGCCUGCCACUACUCAUCCAUCCAAACUGGCACCUGUGCUCUAGCCUUUUGGACUUGCUCUUUGGUCUGACUCUGCAAAGCCCUGACAGUUUCCCCCCAGGAUGUAAAGAACUGCCUGUCGAAAAAGAACUCAUCCUACAUACUCAGGUCAUCAUCUGAGUUCCUGCAUCAUAUUCUACAUCAAUUGAAGGCCAAGUUAACUGUUAUAAGAAACAAAGGCUUUUUGUGCAAUUCCUCCACCCUCACCCUCAUUAUGAAGUUUCCUUACAAACAAAGCUUGGUUAGUCUUUUUCCUCUCUCCUCUCCUCUUGUUUUGGAGAGAGGCAGAAAACUGUGCUCUUCCAGAGAAUGGGAGCUUUACAAUACUUUCUGCUUUUUAUUGUAUUAUUUAAUUAUUUUGAUUUUAAAAUGUUGUUUUGUGGUUGUUUAUAUAUUUUUAUGUUUUAGGCAGCUUUGGGUGCCUUUUGGA